rnacentral:rRNA from 1 species
GAGGGUUGAUAGGUUAAGAGCUGAUUGACUGGACGUUACCCACAGAAGAAGCACCGGCUAACUCCGUGCCAGCAGCCGCGGUAAUACGGAGGGUGCGAGCGUUAAUCGGAAUUACUGGGCGUAAAGAGUGCGUAGGUGGUUAAUUAAGUUAUGUGUAAAAUCCCUGGGCUCAACCUGGGCAGGCCAUAUAAUACUGAUUAACUCGAGUAUGGGAGAGGGUAGUGGAAUUUCCGGUGUAGCGGUGAAAUGCGUAGAGAUCGGAAGGAACACCAGUGGCGAAGGCGGCUACCUGGCCUAAUACUGACACUGAGGCACGAAAGCGUGGGGAGCAAACAGGAUUAGAUACCCUGGUAGUCCACGCCGUAAACGAUGUCAACUAGCUGUUGGUUAUAUAAAAAUAAUUAGUGGCGCAGCAAACGCGAUAAGUUGACCA